UUGUUCGGUCACCGCUAUCAUCGAGUUAUUUCAUUCACUACGACACCUUGUGGCGUCGGUAUAAACUUGUAGCUUGUGCUAAUCGUGAUCGACUGUUUCAUGCGAAACUAUAUAUGCUCUUCGUUUAACACAUCAUUUAAACAGUCUUAAUGCAACUAUGUAUUAAGACGAUGAUACACCAGGUUCGGUUGUAUUUCAUUUCGGUGUAUCCUUGCAACUCAAUAAUGUGAACACGUUGAUUUUAUUCAUUUACUGGUUCGAUAGUUGACAAUUCAUUUUUAUGAUUCUAUUUAGUUGAGCUUGUUGAAUUUGAGUUUCAAUCAUACAAUAAACAACGCAAGAUUCCGUUGGUAGUAAAUUCUGUCAUUCCAAAUAUUGAGUUGCAUAUUGUGAACAUUCAUUUGGAAUUCCAUUGGUUGAAUUUCCUCUUUUGUUGAACCCCGUAAACUUAGUCACAUUGGUGAUAGUAUCACAACACUUCGUUCACUUGACCUCGAUUUCCGAAACAAACUCAGUGGAACCAUUGGGUUCUUAUUGAUACAAAAUUUCCUUACAUUCACGUAAUCUGAAUAACUCUUGGUUUCGAAUUACAUGGUUAUUCACUUUGGUAUUUUUCGGACUUACCUGCGAAACGACACAACUUUGAGGAAAUAACAUAGUCUAAAUUUCGAGGGCGAAAUUUCUUCAACAGGGGGAGAAUGUGACAACCCGUAUUUUUGACCAUAGAUAAUUUCGGAAUGAUACACGUUUAAAUCAUUUUAUUAUUGUUGUUAAUGAUAAUAACUUGCAAAGAGCAAAACACGUUAUUUGACGUAAGAUUUUGGUCACGCAUUGCCCUUAAUUCAAUAAAUACGCGUUACAUAUGCGUAACUAUGCAUCUGAUGUGUAAGAAUUAUUUUAAUUUUUACAAGAUACCUCUUGUAAAAAAAAAAAAAUGGUCCGAGUAACUAGAUGUCAUAUUUUAACCAAAAGCCUAACCAAGUUAUACACUAGCAUACCUAAAACUAUUCUCUAGUCUAAUCUUAUCUUAUCAAGAGCAUACUCCUUUACUUGUGUUGACUAACAAAAAUCAACCACCACACUCCAUUGUGCAAGUACAAUCCAAACUCCUAUGCGUAUGGUUGGAGAUUAUUAUAAUACAACACUUUUUUUUCCUUUAUUUAAUAAAAUUAUAAUAUGAGCAGCUCACACUCACAAAUAUCUCUGCUCUCUCUCUCCGAUUUUACACAACCAACCACCCACCAAUUCCCCAUAAAUUUAUUUGUUGAAGUUGAAUAGACCAAAGGAAACACCAUAGUCUUCCCCUUCAUUCUAGACAACACAUUCCAAGAUCCCCAAUUUUUAGCACACAUCACACACACUUGUGUGUGUGCGUAUCCGAGAAAUUGAGAAAGAUGCAUGAGAGACUAGAUGAAGACGUGGGUGACCGGCCACCUAGUCACGGCGGCGACUCGAUGGUGCAUGACGGCACAUGGUGGCUCGCUUAUUUUUUUUUCUUUGACCCGACUUUUCAACUGGUAACCUCAUCCUCUUGACUCCUCCAUUAGUUCUCCCCUAAAGGACAAGACCAGGUGAUGGUGGUGAGGCCUUAAAGGACGUCACAACAGUAGCGUGGUGUCGAGCAAAGAUCGGACACAUGAGCAUCCAGAUCUGAGCAGAUCGUGUUUGUGCAUAUUGGUUCGUUUCCAACCGGAUUCACUUUUCGGGUUACUCCAGAACACGGCAAAGAACCGUUGGCUGGCCGACGACGACGGAUGAGGUGGUUUUGGGUUAGAUUAAGAGCAAAGCGAGGGGGGUGUUGACAGAAACAGUGGUGUCUGGGUAUUGGUGACCGUAAUGGUGGUGGUGUUAAUUCGAGUCUCGGGUUAGAUGCGGGCUCCAGUUCAGAUUCAUGUUCGAGUUUUUGCUAGUCAAGUCUCGUGGUUCACUUUUAGUUCAAGCGGGUCAGAUGGUUCGGUUACGGGUGCGGGUUGGUUUCGGGACAUGGUUCGGGGUUUUGUUUGAUUUGGUUUUUGGUUCGGCUUGUGCGGUUCACAUGGUUCGGCAGGUUCACCGUUCGGGUCAACGACUCGGGUCAACAGGCAGUCAACGGUCAACUGCCGGGUCAACAGAAGGUUAACACGCGACCCGGUAAAGUUUAACGACGCGAAAUUUACGUAGAUUUUUGACUUUAUAAUAGUUAAACGCGACCGAGCUCGACCCGUUUCGUUUCGUUUUGGUGUUAGUUUACGUUUAUUAUUACUUGACGAAAAUUUAUAAUUGGAUUAUAUUAGUGAAUUGCGGUUGAAAAUUGUUGGAUUUUGAUAAAAAUAUAUCGACACCUACUUGUCGGGA